CCUUCGGUAGCUCAGUUGGAAGAGCGUGGGACUGUAAUGGGUACAUGUCGAUCCCAAGGCCACCAGUUCAAUCCUGGUUCGAAGGA